GGACCCGCACAAGCGGUGGAUGAUGUGGAUUAAUUCGAUGCAACGCGAAAAACCUUACCUACCCUUGACAUGUCAGGAAUUUUGCAGAGAUGCGAAAGUGCUCGAAAGAGAACCUGAACACAGGUGCUGCAUGGCUGUCGUCAGCUCGUGUCGUGAGAUGUUGGGUUAAGUCCCGCAACGAGCGCAACCCUUGUCAUUAGUUGCUACGCAAGGGCACUCUAAUGAGACUGCCGGUGACAAACCGGAGGAAGGUGGGGACGACGUCAAGUCCUCAUGGCCCUUAUGGGUAGGGCUUCACACGUCAUACAAUGGUUGGUACAGAGGGUUGCGAACCCGCGAGGGGGAGCUAAUCCCAAAAAACGUCUCGUAGUCCGGAUUGGAGUCUGCAACUCGACUCCAUGAAGUCGGAAUC
rnacentral:rRNA from 1 species